AAGUAGAACGCUGAAGAGGGGAGCUUGCUCUUCUUGGAUGAGUUGCGAACGGGUGAGUAACGCGUAGGUAACCUGCCUGGUAGCGGGGGAUAACUAUUGGAAACGAUAGCUAAUACCGCAUAAAAUUGAUUAUUGCAUGAUAGUCAAUUGAAAGGUGCAACUGCACCACUACCAGAUGGACCUGCGUUGUAUUAGCUAGUUGGUGGGGUAACGGCUCACCAAGGCGACGAUACAUAGCCGACCUGAGAGGGUGAUCGGCCACACUGGGACUGAGACACGGCCCAGACUCCUACGGGAGGCAGCAGUAGGGAAUCUUCGGCAAUGGACGGAAGUCUGACCGAGCAACGCCGCGUGAGUGAAGAAGGUUUUCGGAUCGUAAAGCUCUGUUGUAAGAGAAGAACGAGUGUGAGAGUGGAAAGUUCACACUGUGACGGUAUCUUACCAGAAAGGGACGGCUAACUACGUGCCAGCAGCCGCGGUAAUACGUAGGUCCCGAGCGUUGUCCGGAUUUAUUGGGCGUAAAGCGAGCGCAGGCGGUUAGAUAAGUCUGAAGUUAAAGGCUGUGGCUUAACCAUAGUACGCUUUGGAAACUGUUUAACUUGAGUGCAAGAGGGGAGAGUGGAAUUCCAUGUGUAGCGGUGAAAUGCGUAGAUAUAUGGAGGAACACCGGUGGCGAAAGCG
rnacentral:rRNA from 1 species